GUGGAUUCGGGCUUUGGUCAAAUUUUGAGAUAAUUAAUAAUUUUUUUCGGAAGCUAAUCAGUGUAAUAAUUAGUAAACAAAAGAAAUGAAAAAAACAAAACAAAACAAAAUAAAACUGCAAAAGAUGAAGCAUAAUUCAAUCAACGAAUCAAACUUCAUGAGCUAUUGUGGUCACCAGUGUAAUUGUGAAUGCUAAUAAAAAUAAGGGCAGUAUUGUAAUUUUAUUAGCUCAAGUGGAGGGUGUUAAAAAUAAAAUUUGAGUGCUUUCCUAAUUUAAUGAACUGACAUAUUUUUCAUACUGUAAGACACGUCGAGUAUUCAACUAAAAUUGAAAAAAAAAACAAAAAAAAAAAACAGUUUUUAUUUUUGCAUUCAGCAUUACAGUAGCUCCCUUCUUUGCUUAUUUUAUUUUAUUUUAUAUUGUUCAAUCAUUCAAGGGAUGAAAUCAUGAAACUUUGUUUGCUGAAUGCAAAAAACCACAGAGAAACUAACUAACGAUUUUUUUUUUUAAAUUGUAAACAAUACUAAAAUCUAUACGCUGCACCCACCAAGCUAUUACAUUAAUUAAAUACUUUGUCCUUCUUCUCCUCCAUCACACGGUGAAUGAACUUAAAAAUAACCUCUACUAGGGAUGGGUUUAAAUAAUCUAAUCUGAUUCUAUCUGAUCUGGUCCGAAAACUAUUGGGUUCAGAUUAGAUUAGAUUACUAACCCAAUCUGAUCAAAUUUAUUUUAGCCACCGCGGCUAUCGGAUUUGCUGCUCCAACAUCACCAAGUUACUCUAAGCUCCACUUUAAUCCAGCAACCUGAAUUUAGUCUUUUGAAAUUUUGAUAGUAUGUACUAAUUUUAAUGUAAAUUGCUAAAUUUUAUGUUCAACAGCUAUUUGCGGAAUAUUUGUUCUUUUUUUUUCAAAGACAAUGGGCAUAAAUUUUUCAUUCUUUGUCGACUAAUUAACCUAUAUUCUUUGAAUUUGUAAUAUUAAGCUAAAAUGUUAAUCCAAUUAUCCAAGGAUUAUUUUCAUUUAGCUAGACUGUCCAAAUUAGAAUUAAAUAUUUUGUUAUAUAUUAUAUGUGCACUUGUACAACACUGCAGUAGCUUCAACAACUCGAUUUUUUAACCAAUUAGAUCUGAUAAUCGAAUCGAAUUAUAGGUUUAGGUUGAAUUUAUGUGAAUUUUUCCUCAACCUGACCAAUCCGAACCCGAUUGGGUUGAUUUAAAUUUGAUCCAAACCUGAUUUUACCUAGUCUUGGCCUCCACCACGCCAGCAACUUUGACCAAGAACACUUAAAAAAACUCGUACGUUUCGAUAGCCGGGUUGCUUGCCAUAACCAUUUCCUCUAGCGCCCUUAAUAGCAACCAUGGUGGACAUGAGGCGGAGCUUGGCGCGCCAACACCGAUCAAGGUGAGCAUGACAACGUAUGAAAUUUUCAAAACCAUUUAAGCAUGCCUCACCCUUUCAUAAUUCAGUACCAAAUUCGCCGUGAUGAAUAGAUGAAAAUUUUUUGCCUUUAUUUGCAUGUAUAUUUGAAUCUUUCCUUCAAUUAUUUUAUUUUAUGUUUUUAAAUAUAUAUU
rnacentral:lncRNA from 1 species